GGCGAGAUGGCCGAGCGGUCUAAGGCGCCACGUUAAGGAAGUUCCUUAAUAAUAUCGAUCUUUCGAGGUAGAUUCCGUGGUCCGAAAGGGCGUGGGUUCGAAUCCCACUCUCGUCA